rnacentral:rRNA from 1 species
AACGAACGCUGGCGGCAUGCCUAACACAUGCAAGUCGAACGAGACCUUCGGGUCUAGUGGCGCACGGGUGCGUAACGCGUGGGAAUCUGCCCUUGGGUUCGGAAUAACAGUUAGAAAUGACUGCUAAUACCGGAUGAUGACUUCGGUCCAAAGAUUUAUCGCCCAGGGAUGAGCCCGCGUAGGAUUAGCUUGUUGGUGAGGCAAAAGUUCACCAAGGCGACGAUCCUUAGCUGGUCUGAGAGGAUGAUCAGCCACACUGGGACUGAGACACGGCCCAGACUCCUGCGGAGUGCAGCAGUGGGGAAUAUUGGACAAUGGGCGAAAGCCUGAUCCAGCACUGCCGCGUGAGUGAUGAAGGCCUUAGGGUUGUAAAGCUCUUUUACCCGGGAUGAUAAUGACAGUACCGGGAGAAUAAGCCCCGGCUAACUCCGUGCCAGCCGCCGCCGUAACAC